rnacentral:misc_RNA from 1 species
UCCUUCUCCUACAUGAGGAAAGAGGCCUAUGCCCAGUAGUGGGAUAUUACAGGCUGAAGCGAAGUUUAUAGAUGUCUGCAACGCCAGAAGCAUCACAAGUGUGUUGGCGUCCCUAUUUCCCCCAGGAGCUCUGGUCACCUAACUCACCAACAGGAGUACAACCCUGUUUGAAAGCAGUAUUAUUUAGCUGUUAUCUACCUAGCCUACCUACCUAGCUACCCCAGUCGGGCUGCUCCAUAUUUUGGGCAGGAAAUUUCAUGCUGUGCCCAACCUACUAAACAUAUGUAAAUUUCUUUAUGUGGAAGGACUACUACAUUUGGUUUGGGAUUCCUGGUGACACUCUCAUAUUGGUUAGACCUUAGGAAAUCUCAAUAGAACGUUCAAUGAUCUUAAAAAAAAUAAAUAAUCAGUUGCAUACAAUAGUAAUUACGCUCGACUCGCUAAGGUAAAAUUUUGAUCAUAUAUUAUUUUGUUCCUACUAGCAAUGGUUGAGAACUAUAUUCUUAACUAUUCUUUGACGUAUUUAAUCUAGUUUCAAGAAAGAGGAAAAUCGCAGAAUCUACCCUAGUUUAACGCCAUCCGAAAUACUUUGCGUCACCUUGUUGUUCGUAAUUCCUGAGGGCCUGAAUACUAAAUUCUUCAAAUAGUGUAUUUCGUCUGUAUCGAUCUAUUAUUUCAAGUUUAGCUCACUAAUACGGCCCACAUUAGAUGGCUAAUCUUGAAGAUUCGUUAGGUGAUCGAAUGAGAAAUUAAAAAAAUUCGUCUUUGAGUCGGUUAUUUGUAUCGUCUUUGAGUCGGCUGUUAUCAUUAAGUUCCUCACCUUAGAAAUAGAUGACUGUGUGUGUAUGUUUAAUAUAUUUACAUAUUUAUUGUUAUUUGUAUUAUGUGUCCGCUCUGAUGCCUACAUGGGAAAAGAAACCUAUGUCCAGCAGUGGGAUAUUAAAUUGUAUUUGUCACACAGGUACCAACUAAAUUGAGCUAUUAUCUCGUGUCUCAUUUGAGCUAAAUACAUUAGUCAAAAUAAUAGAAAAUUAUUUAUAUUUUAUUCACAUUUUUGUGCAAGCACCUUUAAUAAUAUUGGUAGUAGAACUACACUAUCUAAACAACGCAUCCGCAAAGCAAAUAUAUUGAACAUACGGUUUGAAAAAUCCAAGGUAAUCCUCUGUCAUUCAAAGUGAGAUUGAUCGCUUAUGUAAGCUACCGUUUAUGCAAUCAUUUGAUUUUCUAAAUCACACACAAGUCCUGCAUUUGUAGGUAGGUAUAUGAUGUUUUGUCUUUGUGAGCGCCUCGUUAACCUAAAAAUACACAAUGAGACAAAGAUGUAGCCCAUGAGAGUUGUUUCUUAAUUAUUACGGUGGCGCUGGCUUGAAACAUUUCAAUGUGUGAAAAAUUAUUUUCUGAUAACGUAAUUUUUGAGAGUUCGGUGAAAUCAAUACCGUUUUGUUGGUUAAGAUAGUAUACAAACCUUUUAUAUAUAUAUGAAUGUUUUAGAUCCUUAUGCAUAAAUUUAGUAUGAUUAUACCCAUAUUAUUUUGAUUUUAUAUGCAUGUAUAGGUCUGUAUAUUUACGAGUUUCAAUCGGCUGUACAUUGUGUAAUUUGGCAAAAUUAAAGUUUUAUCUUACUAAAGUAUUGAAAAUGGUUUCAUGGCAUACUAAAAAGAAAAUCGUUCUUAGCUACGUAUCCAAUAUCUAAAGUUUUUGCCGCUAACUAUUUUAGUUGAAACAAAGUUAAUCAGAACAACAAACUGCAAGAAAUUUGGUUAUUGUUUAGUAUUAUGCAGCAAAUUUUCAUGUUACUUAAUCUAUACAAACAAAUAAAAUUGGAGUGUCUGUUUGUAAUAUUAAAAUAACCACUUUUUACAUAUGGAUGUAUACACGGUACGUAUACCAAAAUAACAUUUUUUACAAUUUUUGUCAGUCUGUCUGUCUGUCUGUGUGUCUGUCUGUCUGUCUGUUUGUUCCAGCUAAUCUCUGAAACGACUGAACCGAAUUUGACAGGACUUUCACUGGCAGAUACUUAAUGUAAAAAGGAGUAACUUAGGCUACUUUUAUUUUAGGAAUUUAUUUAUUUUUUUACUCUGCGGAAUGAACAAUAAAUUUUAAGUGGAUUUACACGUGGAAAAAGUCGCGGGAACAGCUAGUUUUAAAUAUUUUAAUGUUUGGGUUUUAUUCUAUUUUAUUUUUUAUGUUCAUCAUACAAGAAAGCAAUUUAAAUGAUAAUUUAAAUAGUUCAUGUAAAUAUAAAUUCCUUUCUUAAUUUUAUCAUUAUAAAUG